AGACCGGUUUAGUAGGUCGUGCUUUUGUACGUACUGGUAUAAUCGGUUUCUCUUUUCUGACGAACUAUAACGCCAUUAAUUUGGUGUUAUAGGGAAUCAGGACUGUUACUUUGAAAAAAUUAGAGUGUUUAAAGCAGGCUCACGCUUGAAUACAUUAGCAUGGAAUAACGAAAUAGGACGUUUGAUUCUAUUUUGUUGGUUUCUAGGAUCGACGUA
rnacentral:rRNA from 1 species